AUAGAAUAUAUAGGAAGUAGAAUAAUAUUUGGAAAUUGUUCCCGGGGGAAGAUGUAGUGUAUUAGGAAUUCAUUAUUUAUAAUUUAUGUAAAUCAGUUGAUAUAAAGUGUAGGCACAUGUGAAUAAAGUAUUACAACAUUACUACACUUAUUGUAAGACAUUGCUAAAGCUUUAACAGUAGAACAAUAUAAAUUUACAAUAAGCAUAUAAAUGCUUUUUACAAUUGAAUGGUAACAUAUUUACAUACCGUAAUAUAAGCAAGUUAUGCAAAGGGGGGACCAAAUGAAAUUUUUCAAAAACAUUGAAAAACUGCCUCAAACUAGUCCAAACUUUCUGAAAAUUGUUGAAAACCUUUCCUGUGAUCAAAACAGUUACUUUCGAUCGAUAAAAACAUGAUUUAAAAAAUUUUGGUCAGAUGCAUAAGGGGGACCACAGGGUACCUUAGCCCUAGCAAAGGGGGGAC
rnacentral:lncRNA from 1 species